rnacentral:piRNA from 1 species
GAGGCCGGAGCAGCAUGUUGGGCAU